rnacentral:rRNA from 1 species
GGGUGAAAUUUUAAAUUUUUGAGCAAGGAGUACGAAAUGGUUCAUUUUUGUAGGCUAUAAAGAUUUGGGUUUAAACUAGGAUUAGAUACCCUAUUAUACCACUUAAUUAAAUUUUUGCUUGAGUAGUAAUCAGUUAUGUUCUUGAAACUUAAAGGAUUUGGCGGUAUUCAAGUCUAGUUAGAGGAACCUGUCCUGUAAACGAUAUUCCACGAAAAAUCUUACUUUUGCUGGUGUUCAGUAUGUAUACCGCCAUUAGUAAAGUAAUAUUUAUAAAUAAAUACUAAAAUAAGUUAUCUUAGUAUAUUAGGUCAAGGUGCAGCUUAUGUAAAAGUUGAGAUGGGUUACAGUAUAAAUAUAUGUUCGGACAGGGGUUUUAUAGUCCUCUUGAAGUUGGAUUUAAUUGUAUUUUUGUUUUAAUAAGACAUAUUGAUAAUAGCUCUAGAAUAUGUACACAUUGCCCGUCGCUCUCAUUAAUUAAAGUGAGAUA